CCUACGGGGGGCAGCAGUAAGGAAUCUUGCGCAAUGGGGGGAACCCUGACGCAGCGACGCCGCGUGGAGGAAGAAGGCCUUCGGGUCGUAAACUCCUGUCAGAAGGGACGAGGUGGGAACUGGUCAAUAGCCGGUUGCCUUGACGGUACCUUCAGAGGAAGCCCCGGCCAACUUCGUGCCAGCAGCCGCGGUAAGACGAAGGGGGCGAGCGUUGUUCGGAAUUACUGGGCGUAAAGGGCGUGUAGGCGGUUAAGGAAGUCCUGGGUAAAAGUCCUUUUUUCAAAGGGGAAAGGGCCCAGGAAACUCCUUGGCUAGAGGAUAGGAGGGGGGAGUGGAAUUCCCGGUGUAGCGGUGAAAUGCGUAGAGAUCGGGAGGAACACCAGUGGCGAAGGCGGCUCUCUGGCCUAAUCCUGACGCUGAGGCGCGAAAGCCAGGGGAGCAAACGGGAUUAGAUCCCCCUGUAGU
rnacentral:rRNA from 1 species